rnacentral:rRNA from 1 species
UACGUAGGGUGCAAGCGUUGUCCGGAAUUACUGGGCGUAAAGAGCGCGCAGGCGGUUGUUUAAGUCGAAUGUGAAAGCCCCCGGCUCAACUGGGGAGGGUCAUUCGAUACUGAUCGACUUGAAGGCAGGAGAGGGAAGUGGAAUUCCGGGUGUAGUGGUGAAAUGCGUAGAUAUCCGGAGGAACACCGGUGGCGAAGGCGGCAUCCGUGGACCACGACUGACGCUGAGUGAGCGAAAGCCAGGGGAGCAAACGGG